CCGGCCCCAGACACCGCCCUGGGUCUGAGACCCUGAGAGGCAGGUCCAGGGACCUGGGACUUUACCCCGACCCCUCCCCUACCGCACAGUGUGCUCCUUGUCACACUGUCUGCGUGAGUCGUGGCCCAGGAGCUGGAUCCCAACAGAAAAGUUUGUCAGCAGUGAGAAGCUGUCAAGUUUAUUGGGGGAUCACAAGUUCUCCAAAACUCUGAUUUUCUCUUGAGAGCUGACAUUUGAUCAAGGCAACAAGUCCUCUCAGCUGUCAUAUGUGAGCUGAUUGUCAUGAAAGGACAUUUUCGUGGAGGAAUUUAUCCAAUGAAGAUGUCACACAUGUUCUCAAGGAUGUUUCUUGGACUGUGGUUUAUAAAAAAAAAGAACGGAAGCUAUCUGAGCAAUUUAAUCAAUAUGACGAUGAAAGAGAGAGAGCACACAAGCAGGCGGAGCAGCAGGGAGAGGGAGAAGCAGGCUCCCCACUGAGCAGGAAGCCUGACCCAGGGCUCAGUCGCAGGACACUGACAUCUUGACCUGAGUCAAAGGCAGCUGCUUAACCAACUGAACCACCUGGUGCCCCAGAAAGAGGGUGGAAGAGCAGACACCCUGAAAUCUCCAAGAGGCAACCACACAGGCCUGGUGGCUGGAAUACAUGAGGCAAGGACCCCAAAUCCCGAGGACAACUCCGUCCAGCACAGAGUAUCUGUCUCGUCACCAUGUGGCUCAGGGCGAGGGCAGCCUAAAGGCUCCUCAGACGCUCGAGUUUCUGUUGUACUUUCCAUGUCCCCUUCCGAAGGAUACCAGUAGGCAAAGUGGGAAAAUGAUGGAGAAAACCAAACAAGGGGAGCACAUGGGAUCCCAGCCACAGGGAGACAGAAGGAGAGAGGCCAAGGGUCCCCAGGAGGAGCUGCAGGGGGUGCGGGUCUCAGCCCUGUCCCCAUGGGGCAGGACUGAGGACUGCGGGCCAUCUUAGGGGAUCCUGUGGGGGGAGGAUGGGUUCUGUCUGGAAGAGGCACAGGGGCUUCUGGCUGGUGCCCUGGUAGAGGUCUCUGGUUUUCCCCUGAUGGUCGUCACACAGGGGUGAGCUCCGUCACUGGUCGGGAAACUGUACCUACGUUCAGGCAUUUUUUCAUACUGACAUUAUGAACAGUUCAAACAUUCCAGAAAGAAGGGGAAAGCAGAGAGAGGGGAGGUGAUUAAGGGGUUUCCCCUCCUCCAGACCAAGACCCCCUUAUGCUGGAAGGCAGGUAAUAAAGGGACUGAGAGGAGGGGGAGCAAGGCCCGUGCACUGUGAAGGGCCAGCCCUGGUUUCUGAUUCUGGAGUUUCCAGAUUCCCACUCCCUGGGCUUCGGUUUCACAGCUGCCUGCCGUCCACCCCUGUCUCACAGCCUCUGCCACCUGGAAACCUUCUCUACUUGGGAAGACAGUGGAACCCCUGCUCCAGGAAGAGCAGCCCCAGGGCCUCAGACUCGGAGGGCCCAGCAUCCUGAGCCACGGAGAUGGGUUCCUGGAGCUCAGAGGCAGCAGUUGGGACGGAGGCUGGUCUCCGCAGUGGUACACGGAGAUCAGCCAGGAGUCAGAGCCCAGGCUUCUGCCUUGCAUUUCCCCCAGGACCCCAAUGUGUCCUCUCCCCUCUUCCCGAGGCUGCAAGACCCAGGCAUCUGAACACCAUGCCCAAGAAGUCCAAGGGGGGAGGCUCCUGUGCAGGGCCAGACCCCACCUUUUGGAACCUGGAGGGUGGCCCCCCUCCCCCACCUGGAGAGCCCAGGACCCUGGCGUGUUGCCUCUUCUACCCUGUGCUGCCCCUGAGACACAGGGACCUGCUGUCUGCAUCCCUCAGGCCUGGUUCCCGCCCUUGCAAACUGGGAAACGACAAACUCUGCUUCUGUUGCAUCUACAGAUCCCACAUUCUCAUUCUGUACGUGGUCGUUUGGGGAAGAGAAAGCUGACGUCCCUGUGAUUGCUUCUCCAAGUGAUGAGGACCCAUGGCUUUGACCUGUGUGACUGAUAUCCAAAUAUUUGGGGAUUUUCCAGAGAUCUGCUUGUGAUGGAUUUCUAAUUGUGGUCGCACAGCAUACUCUAUAACUUCACUGCCUGUACGUUUAUUGAGAUGUGUUUUAGGGCCAGUUCCUGGUUUGUUUGGGCUCACGGUAUGGUUAUUGUCCUCUAAUCCUUACUUGUUCUAUUAAUGAGAGAGGACUAUUGAUCUCUAAAUAUAUUUAAUUUGUCUGUUUCUUUACAGUUCUGUUUGAUUUGCUUCUCUCCAAUCUCUGUUCUCUGUGAUUUUUGGAUUGGCUAAUUUCUAUGGAUUUAGACUCAACCUCGUUCAUUCUUUAUUUUGCCUUCCCAGGCCUUCAGUGGAGUUUACCUAUUGAACUUUUAUUACAUUUUUCCCUUUCAGUUCCAGAAUUUCUAUGUGGUCUUCUUUGUGCAUUCCACUUUUUAAUUCAGAUUUCCUCUCUGUUCUCCAUUUAAUAACAAGAUUUUCUUACAUUCCUUCAACCCAUAUUUAUUCAGUUCUUUGAACAUAGUUCCCAAAGCCCCAUGGAAACUUCUGGUGCUGAUUCCCACAUCUGGGCGCACUGGGAAUACCUUUCUGUUCACUUUCUCAGGAUGUGUCUCUCAAAUGUGUUUCUUUGCAUGUCUGGCCAUAUGUCCUUUCAAAGUGGACAUGAGUUUUCUGUGUUAGCAAAUCUGGAAUCUAUUUUAUGUUUUUGAAGAUUCCUUUUCCGUAGAAGUGUGUCACUUGCAUGGGCCCCAUUAUGACCUGAGCCCCUGCAGAGCUGACAGGUGUUGUCCGAGGCCUGUCUCAGCUGCUUGAGUGAGCUGCCCUCCAUCCGGGUGACUUAGUGGUCAAUCAGGGAUGUGCAGUUUGCACUCAGAUCUCCGAGCUCACCUUCUUGGUGGUUGCCUUGUUCCUGGAAUUUCCCCUAAACUUCCAAAUGCCCUGCCAGCCACCAGGUCUGACCUUUGAUACGUUCAUCCGGUAUGAUCUUAUUUUCUUAAGUAAGCUGUAAGCCGAUUGUGAGGCUCGAACUUACAGCCCGGAGACCAAGAGUCUCAUGCUCUACGGACUGAGCCAGUCAGGUGCCCCUCGGCCGGGACAGUGGGGCUUUAACGCUAGACCUCCCUCUGGAUCUUCCUGCUUUUUCGGCCGUGUCUCCUGAGCAUCCCCAGCCAUGAAUAGUGUAGUGGUCAUCCGGGGACUUUGACCGAGCUUGUAUUCAGAUUUUGGAUCUCAACCGUCUCCUGCUCCCUCACUUUCAAUUUUCCCUGUUGAAUGUCCAGCUCCUUGGCACUGCGACUGCUGUCAUCUGCCCCUUUGAGCCACGGGGGCUGCAGUUACGCUGGGGGAGGGGAGGGACCCACAGGGACGAAGGUUAUGAGCUUGGUCUUCUCACCCAGUAUAGUGGUAGUUAUUCAAGGCCAAAGUUCUCUCAUAUUUCUGCCUGUCUUCGUUUACUUUUCUGUGACUUCAAAUAUUUAUUAAAUUACUUAGUUUUAAGUAGGCAUCAUCUCCAGUGUGGAGCCCAACCUGGGGUUUGAACUCAUGACCCUGAGAUCAAGACAUGAGCUGAGAUUGAGAGUUGGACACUUAACUGACUGAGCCAUCCAGACAUCCCUCAAAUAUUUAUUUUGAAUCUUUUCCUCCAGUUUUCGUGAUUGUCUUCCGGGGAAGAACUGACUCAACCCCUUCCUGCUGCCAUUACCGGAAGUCUCACCUGAGACAGGAUUUGGGGUUGAAGAGGUCACAGCCCGUGAUGUGAUCUUGGGAGACCAGUGAGGGUUCAGGCACCUGGGAUUCUGGAUUCAGGUUUCUCCAACUGAAAUACAAGGAGGCCUGGGGUCUGGGCUCACGAUGACAAGGAAGGAUGCCCUUGUUCCACCUCCCAUCAGACGGCUCCUUUAGUGGGGAAACAUGUUCUUUAAAAAAAUUUUUUUUAACUUUUUUUUAAAAGUAAUCUCUACAACCAACAUGAGGCUUGAACCCACAACCCCAACAACACCUGCAUGUUCCAAUGACUGAGCCUGUGAGGCACAGCAAAUAUUAAAAAAAUUUUUUUUUUAAUUUUAAAUACAAUCUACCCCCAAGGUGGGUCUUGAACUCAGAAUCCCAAGAACAAGAGCCACAUGCUCUACCCACUGAGGCAGCCAGGUCCCCCUAGAGAAGUCUUUCUAUGUGUGAGAAUUCUUACGUUAUCUGCACCCCGUCCCCAGAGAAGCAGCUCGUUGGAAGGGGGGCCUGGGAAGGGGCUGAGUUAAGUGCAACAAGCUCUGCCUUGUCCUCCAUCCUCCCUAGAACCAGGCACGGACUGUGAUUGCCCCCAGUCUGCCAGCCCAGCGCUGCUUGCUCAGCGAGACGCCUCUGACUCCGUGUGCUCCGGGCAUCAGAACUGAUGGCUUCGCCCCAAGUCUGAGCAGCGCGAGUCCUCGGAAGUGCGCGUGGGUCGCACGGAUCAGAUCCUUCCGAGUGACACUUGUUGUCGCGCGGAAGAUCACGUUGGAAACUCUCAUCUCGUCGGGGCUUCUCCCAUCAUCAGGGGAUGAAAGUGCAGAGUGUCCUCUGUGGGGAGCGGAGACGGCGCAUCUUCCUGAGGUCCAAGCUCGCGCCCGAGGCCUUAGCAAAGUGUACGGAUCGUGGGUGGGCAGAGGAACUGCUCGUGGGCGGCUGUCGCCAAAUCACUGGCCACGGAGGGACUGGGCCUUGGGUGUGAACGAGGCGUGGCUCAGUGCUGGAGCAGCUCCUGUGCUCCCGCUUGAGAAAGGCAGGAAAGCCCCGCAGCCGCGACGGGGAACUGCUCACAGCCCACAGCAGUGGACACUGCAGGUUAUGGGUACAUCGAUGCCCAGAGGUCACCCAGAGCCACAGGGACUGAAGCACAGAGUUUCCUGGGCUUUCGUGGAUGGAACUGCUUGACUGUCGGGCCAUUUGGCUUGAAUACUGGAUUUAAGGGCAUGUCACAUGGUGAGACCGCUUAUAAAGAAGGUUGAGAAUCCAGACUAACAUUUCAUCUUUAUGUUCCACACGCGCCCCGGAGAGUGGAUUUCAGGAAUAGCAGCAGACUUCCAGGAUCGGGAGCUGCAUUUUGCACACGAUGCGCACUCACAGAAUGGGGGAACAUUCUAGAACUUCAGCAGCUGCUGCGGGACGAUGUCCAAGCACCUGCAGUGCCACUCAGAACACAAAUUCUCGAGCUCUGCCCCAGAGGUCCUGCAGCGGGGUCACUGUGCUUGGAAAAUGCAUCCGUACUGUCAACAUGCACCUAGGUUCCCGUGCCUCUGCCGUGUCGGGCCGGCUGCUGGAGGGUGUGGGAAUCUGGGUGUCAGGAUGGCCACUGGAUGGGUUGGGAGAUCUGGGUGUUGGGCGGAUGCUGGAAGGGGUGGGGAAUCUGGGUGUCAGGACGGCUGCUGGAGGAGGUGAGAUAUCUGGGUGUUGGGGAGGCUGCUGGAGGGGUUGGGAAAUCUCGGGGGGGGGCUGGAAAUGGGAUGAUGAGGCGCAGCACGUGGAACACAGAGUCUUCUACCAGGAACCAGGGGGAGGAGCCGUUUGAUACGUGGAGACCACAGAUGUCCUGCUGUACUUGAAAAUCCCCUGAUGGGACGGCAGGGAGUCUGCCACACAGAUCUCUUCACGGAUGCUCAUUAUGGGCCUAGCAGGGCUCUGGGGAUGAGCACAUUUCUGAGCAGGUGUCAGGAGAGGCCCUGGGGAAGCAGGUUCAGAUCAGGGAUGCAGGCUCAGCCGACCCUUGCUCCACCCAACCUAAAGGAUGAGACGAAAUUCUCAGACAAGUAAAUGCUGGCCUCUUUGACUUUUAGAGAGCUCACCUGCUCCUUGCUGCUCAAGGUCACUCCUUCCAUCCUGAGAUAUUCAUCUGGGGCAGUUUGGUGUCUGGGAUGGUGAGUGCCCAGAACUGUCCCCUGGUGACCCUCACAGCCCAGAUGCCCUCCUUUUGGCACAGAAAUCCU